rnacentral:rRNA from 1 species
AACGAACGCUGGCGGCAUGCCUAACACAUGCAAGUCGAACGAGACCUUCGGGUCUAGUGGCGCACGGGUGCGUAAAGCGUUGGAACCUGCCCUUAGGUUCGGAAUAACUCCCCGAAAGGGGUGCUAAUACCGGAUCAUGUCUUCGGACCAAAGGUUUAUAGCCUUUGGAUGGGCCCGCGUUGGAUUAGCUAGUUGGUAGGGUAAAAGGCUAUCAAGGCGACGAUCCAUAGCUGGUCUGAGAGGAUGAUCAGCCACACUGGGACUGAGACACGGCCCAGACUCCUACGGGAGGCAGCAGUGGGGAAUAUUGGCCAGUGGGCGAAAUCCUGAUCCAGCAAUGCCGCGUGAGUGAUGAAAGCCUUAGGGUUGUAAAGCUCUUUUACCCGGGAUGAUAAUGACAGUACCGGGAGAAUAAGCGCCGGCUAACUCCGUG